GGGUUGUGAGGUUAAGCGACUAAGCGUACACGGUGGAUGCCCUGGCAGUCAGAGGCGAUGAAGGACGUGCUAAUCUGCGAUAAGCGUCGGUAAGGUGAUAUGAACCGUUAUAACCGGCGAUUUCCGAAUGGGGAAACCCAGUGUGUUUCGACACACUAUCAUUAACUGAAUCCAUAGGUUAAUGAGGCGAACCGGGGGAACUGAAACAUCUAAGUACCCCGAGGAAAAGAAAUCAACCGAGAUUCCCCCAGUAGCGGCGAGCGAACGGGGAGGAGCCCAGAGUCUGAAUCAGUGUGUGUGUUAGUGGAAGCGUCUGGAAAGGCGCGCGAUACAGGGUGACAGCCCCGUACACAAAAAUGCACAUAUUGUGAGCUCGAUGAGUAGGGCGGGACACGUGGUAUCCUGUCUGAAUAUGGGGGGACCAUCCUCCAAGGCUAAAUACUCCUGACUGACCGAUAGUGAACCAGUACCGUGAGGGAAAGGCGAAAAGAACCCCGGCGAGGGGAGUGAAAAAGAACCUGAAACCGUGUACGUACAAGCAGUGGGAGCCUCUUUUAUGGGGUGACUGCGUACCUUUUGUAUAAUGGGUCAGCGACUUAUAUUCUGUAGCAAGGUUAACCGAAUAGGGGAGCCGAAGGGAAACCGAGUCUUAACUGGGCGUUAAGUUGCAGGGUAUAGACCCGAAACCCGGUGAUCUAGCCAUGGGCAGGUUGAAGGUUGGGUAACACUAACUGGAGGACCGAACCGACUAAUGUUGAAAAAUUAGCGGAUGACUUGUGGCUGGGGGUGAAAGGCCAAUCAAACCGGGAGAUAGCUGGUUCUCCCCGAAAGCUAUUUAGGUAGCGCCUCGUGAAUUCAUCUCCGGGGGUAGAGCACUGUUUCGGCAAGGGGGUCAUCCCGACUUACCAACCCGAUGCAAACUGCGAAUACCGGAGAAUGUUAUCACGGGAGACACACGGCGGGUGCUAACGUCCGUCGUGAAGAGGGAAACAACCCAGACCGCCAGCUAAGGUCCCAAAGUCAUGGUUAAGUGGGAAACGAUGUGGGAAGGCCCAGACAGCCAGGAUGUUGGCUUAGAAGCAGCCAUCAUUUAAAGAAAGCGUAAUAGCUCACUGGUCGAGUCGGCCUGCGCGGAAGAUGUAACGGGGCUAAACCAUGCACCGAAGCUGCGGCAGCGACGCUUAUGCGUUGUUGGGUAGGGGAGCGUUCUGUAAGCCUGUGAAGGUGUGCUGUGAGGCAUGCUGGAGGUAUCAGAAGUGCGAAUGCUGACAUAAGUAACGAUAAAGCGGGUGAAAAGCCCGCUCGCCGGAAGACCAAGGGUUCCUGUCCAACGUUAAUCGGGGCAGGGUGAGUCGACCCCUAAGGCGAGGCCGAAAGGCGUAGUCGAUGGGAAACAGGUUAAUAUUCCUGUACUUGGUGUUACUGCGAAGGGGGGACGGAGAAGGCUAUGUUGGCCGGGCGACGGUUGUCCCGGUUUAAGCGUGUAGGCUGGUUUUCCAGGCAAAUCCGGAAAAUCAAGGCUGAGGCGUGAUGACGAGGCACUACGGUGCUGAAGCAACAAAUGCCCUGCUUCCAGGAAAAGCCUCUAAGCAUCAGGUAACAUCAAAUCGUACCCCAAACCGACACAGGUGGUCAGGUAGAGAAUACCAAGGCGCUUGAGAGAACUCGGGUGAAGGAACUAGGCAAAAUGGUGCCGUAACUUCGGGAGAAGGCACGCUGAUAUGUAGGUGAAGUCCCUUGCGGAUGGAGCUGAAAUCAGUCGAAGAUACCAGCUGGCUGCAACUGUUUAUUAAAAACACAGCACUGUGCAAACACGAAAGUGGACGUAUACGGUGUGACGCCUGCCCGGUGCCGGAAGGUUAAUUGAUGGGGUCAGCGCAAGCGAAGCUCUUGAUCGAAGCCCCGGUAAACGGCGGCCGUAACUAUAACGGUCCUAAGGUAGCGAAAUUCCUUGUCGGGUAAGUUCCGACCUGCACGAAUGGCGUAAUGAUGGCCAGGCUGUCUCCACCCGAGACUCAGUGAAAUUGAACUCGCUGUGAAGAUGCAGUGUACCCGCGGCAAGACGGAAAGACCCCGUGAACCUUUACUAUAGCUUGACACUGAACAUUGAGCCUUGAUGUGUAGGAUAGGUGGGAGGCUUUGAAGUGUGGACGCCAGUCUGCAUGGAGCCGACCUUGAAAUACCACCCUUUAAUGUUUGAUGUUCUAACGUGGACCCGUGAUCCGGGUUGCGGACAGUGUCUGGUGGGUAGUUUGACUGGGGCGGUCUCCUCCUAAAGAGUAACGGAGGAGCACGAAGGUUGGCUAAUCCUGGUCGGACAUCAGGAGGUUAGUGCAAUGGCAUAAGCCAGCUUGACUGCGAGCGUGACGGCGCGAGCAGGUGCGAAAGCAGGUCAUAGUGAUCCGGUGGUUCUGAAUGGAAGGGCCAUCGCUCAACGGAUAAAAGGUACUCCGGGGAUAACAGGCUGAUACCGCCCAAGAGUUCAUAUCGACGGCGGUGUUUGGCACCUCGAUGUCGGCUCAUCACAUCCUGGGGCUGAAGUAGGUCCCAAGGGUAUGGCUGUUCGCCAUUUAAAGUGGUACGCGAGCUGGGUUUAGAACGUCGUGAGACAGUUCGGUCCCUAUCUGCCGUGGGCGCUGGAGAACUGAGGGGGGCUGCUCCUAGUACGAGAGGACCGGAGUGGACGCAUCACUGGUGUUCGGGUUGUCAUGCCAAUGGCACUGCCCGGUAGCUAAAUGCGGAAGAGAUAAGUGCUGAAAGCAUCUAAGCACGAAACUUGCCCCGAGAUGAGUUCUCCCUGACCCUUUAAGGGUCCUGAAGGAACGUUGAAGACGACGACGUUGAUAGGCCGGGUGUGUAAGCGCAGCGAUGCGUUGAGCUAACCGGUACUAAUGAACCGUGAGGCUUAACCUUACAACGCCGAAGCUGUU
rnacentral:rRNA from 1 species